rnacentral:tRNA from 1 species
GCCCCUCGCACUCCCCCGGCCUCCGGAGCCGUGUGCGCAGGUUCGAAUCCUGCCGGGGGCA